CCUCUUGAGAGCGGCGGACGGGUGAGUAAUGCCUAGGAAUCUGCCUGGUAGUGGGGGAUAACGCUCGGAAACGGACGCUAAUACCGCAUACGUCCUACGGGAGAAAGCAGGGGACCUUCGGGCCUUGCGCUAUCAGAUGAGCCUAGGUCGGAUUAGCUAGUUGGUGAGGUAAUGGCUCACCAAGGCGACGAUCCGUAACUGGUCUGAGAGGAUGAUCAGUCACACUGGAACUGAGACACGGUCCAGACUCCUACGGGAGGCAGCAGUGGGGAAUAUUGGACAAUGGGCGAAAGCCUGAUCCAGCCAUGCCGCGUGUGUGAAGAAGGUCUUCGGAUUGUAAAGCACUUUAAGUUGGGAGGAAGGGCAGUUACCUAAUACGUAAUUGUUUUGACGUUACCGACAGAAUAAGCACCGGCUAACUCUGUGCCAACAUCCGCGGUAAUACAGAGGGUGCAAGCGUUAAUCGGAAUUACUGGGCGUAAAGCGCGCGUAGGUGGUUCGUUAAGUUGGAUGUGAAAGCCCCGGGCUCAACCUGGGAACUGCAUUCAAAACUGACGAGCUAGAGUAUGGUAGAGGGUGGUGGAAUUUCCUGUGUAGCGGUGAAAUGCGUAGAUAUAGGAAGGAACACCAGUGGCGAAGGCGACCACCUGGACUGAUACUGACACUGAGGUGCGAAAGCGUGGGGAGCAAACAGGAUUAG
rnacentral:rRNA from 1 species